rnacentral:rRNA from 1 species
AGAGUUUGAUCCUGGCUCAGAACGAACGCUGGCGACAUGCCUAACACAUGCAAGUCGAACGAGGGCCCCGCUUCGGUGGGACCCUAGUGGCGCACGGGUGAGUAACGCGUGGGAACCUGCCCUGUGGUACGGAAUAACUCCGGGAAACUGGAGCUAAUACCGUAUGUGUCCUGUGGGACAAAGAUUUAUCGCCAUGGGAUGGGCCCGCGUAGGAUUAGCUUGUUGGUGGGGUAACGGCCUACCAAGGCUUCGAUCCUUAGCUGGUCUGAGAGGAUGAUCAGCCACACUGGGACUGAGACACGGCCCAGACUCCUACGGGAGGCAGCAGUGGGGAAUAUUGGACAAUGGGCGCAAGCCUGAUCCAGCAAUGCCGCGUGAGUGAUGAAGGCCUUCGGGUUGUAAAGCUCUUUCGCACGCGACGAUGAUGACGGUAGCGUGAGAAGAAGCCCCGGCUAACUUCGUGCCAGCAGCCGCGGUAAUACGAAGGGGGCUAGCGUUGUUCGGAAUUACUGGGCGUAAAGGGCGCGUAGGCGGUACUUCAAGUCAGGCGUGAAAGCCCCGGGCUCAACCUGGGAACCGCGCUUGAGACUGGAGAACUAGAGUUCGGGAGAGGAUGGUGGAAUUCCCAGUGUAGAGGUGAAAUUCGUAGAUAUUGGGAAGAACACCGAUGGCGAAGGCAGCCAUCUGGACCGACACUGACGCUGAGGCGCGAAAGCGUGGGGAGCAAACAGGAUUAGAUACCCUAGUAGUCC